GUAGCNGUGAAAUGCAUAGAUAUUACUUAGAACACCAAUUGCGAAGGCAGGUUACUAAGCAACAACUGACGCUGAUGGACGAAAGCGUGGGGAGCGAACAGGAUUAGAUACCNUGGUAGNNNACGCCGUAAACGAUGCUAACUCGUUUUUGGAAUGUAAGUUUCAGAGACUAAGCGAAAGUGAUAAGUUAGCCACCUGGGGAGUACGAACGCAAGUUUGAAACUCAAAGGAAUUGACGGGGGCCCGCACAAGCGGUGGAUUAUGUGGUUUAAUUCGAUGAUACGCGAGGAACCUUACCAAGGCUUAAAUGGGAAAUGACAGGUUUAGAAAUAGACUUUUCUUCGGACAUUUUUCAAGGUGCUGCAUGGUUGUCGUCAGCUCGUGCCGUGAGGUGUUAGGUUAAGUCCUGCAACGAGCGCAACCCCUGUCACUAGUUGCCAUCAUUAAGUUGGGGACUCUAGUGAGACUGCCUACGCAAGUAGAGAGGAAGGUGGGGAUGACGUCAAAUCAUCACGGCCCUUACGCCUUGGGCCACACACGUAAUACAAUGGCCGGUACAGAGGGCAGCUACACUGCGAAGUGAUGCAAAUCUCGAAAGCCGGUCUCAGUUCGGAUUGGAGUCUGCAACUCGACUCUAUGAAGCUGGAAUCGCUAGUAAUCGCGCAUCAGCCAUGGCGCGGUGAAUACGUUCCCGGGCCUUGUACACACCGCCCGUCAAGCCAUGGAAGUCUGGGGUACCUGAAGUCGGUGACCGUAACAGGAGCUGCCUAGGGUAAAACAGGUAACUAGGGCU
rnacentral:rRNA from 1 species